GGAGUGAACGGCUGGCGGCGUGCCUAACACAUGCAAGUCGAGCGAUUCUCUUCGGAGAAGAGCGGCGGACGGGUGAGUAACGCGUGGGUAACCUGCCUCAUACACAUGGAUAACAUACCGAAAGGUAUGCUAAUACAGGAUAAUAUAAGAGAUUCACAUGGAUUUCUAUCAAAGCUCCGGCGGUAUGAGAUGGACCCGCGUCUGAUUAGCUAGUUGGUAAGGUAACGGCUUACCAAGGCGACGAUCAGUAGCCGACCUGAGAGGGUGAUCGGCCACAUUGGAACUGAGACACGGUCCAAACUCCUACGGGAGGCAGCAGUGGGGAAUAUUGCACAAUGGGCGAAAGCCUGAUGCCAGCAACGCCGCGUGAGUGAUGAAGGCCUUCGGGUCGUAAAACUCUGUCCUCAAGGAAGAUAAUGACGGUACUUGAGGAGGAAGCCCCGGCUAACUACGUGCCAGCAGCCGC
rnacentral:rRNA from 1 species